rnacentral:rRNA from 1 species
CCUACGUGUGGCUGCAGUGGGGAAUAUUGCACAAUGGGGGAAACCCUGAUGCAGCGACGCCGCGUGAGCGAUGAAGUAUCUCGGUAUGUAAAGCUCUAUCAACAGGGAAGAAGAUGACGGUACCUGACUACGAAGCCCCGGCUAACUACGUGCCAGCAGCCGCGGUAAUACGUAGGGGGCCAGCGUUAUCCGGAUUUACUGGGUGUAAAGGGAGCGUAGACGGCGAUGCAAGUCAGAUGUGAAAGCCCGGGGCUCAACCCCGGGACUGCAUUUGGAACUGUGUGGCUGGAGUGUCGGAGAGGCAGGCGGAAUGCCUAGUGUAGCGGUGAAAUGCGUAGAUAUUAGGAGGAACACCAGUGGCGAAGGCAGCCUGCUGGACGAUGACUGACGUUGAGGCUCGAAAGCGUGGGGAGCAAACAGGAUUAGAUACCCGUGUAGUC